rnacentral:misc_RNA from 1 species
GACGAACCGUGCGAACGUUAUUCGGAAUCACUGGGCUUAAAGAGCACGUAGGCGGCUAUGUAAGUUGGAGGUGAAAUCCCAUCGGCUCAACCGUGGAACUGCCUUCAAUACUGCAUGGCUUGAGGGAGGUAGGGGCACAUGGAACUUCCAGUGGAGCGGUGAAAUGCGUUGAGAUUGGAAGGAACGCCGGUGGCGAAAGCGAUGUGCUGGAACUCUUCUGACGCUGAGGUGCGAAAGCUAGGGUAGCGAACGGG